rnacentral:misc_RNA from 1 species
AUAUCACGUCCUUCGUGACCUGGGCUGUGGCCCCUCUAGAGCAGGAUGUAUAUAAGCGAGGAGAAGAUGCCUUGAGGCAGACACAGGUCCUCCGCCGCGGCGCCAACAUCGUCCAGCGUCUGACACCCAUCUCCUUGCUGCCUACCUGAGAAGUGUACAAGGCCCUGAAGAUGGCGCCACCACCGUUCAUCCUGGUGCUGGCGUUGGUGGUGAUGGCAGCGGCGCCUCUCGUGGCACAAGGUUUUGAUUAUGAUCUGGGGCUAUCAUCAUGCUUCCAAGGCGGCAGGUUAGUCCCUCACGGCACCGUGUUGCUUGGCAUUCCUCACAAGUGUAUGAGGAUUGUCUGCAACAAAGGCUCUGCUGUGCCCCGUUUUGUCGGCGACGUGAAGGCUUCUGGCUGUUGUGAGUUCCGAUUGAACAUCUACCAGCCGGGCCUAGUAUAUCCUGCUGGCUGCGCCAAGAUGACUUGUGAGGGCGGCAACUGGAAGCCCACGGGAGAGAUUGAGACACAUUGUUCGCAGUGCGAGGUCUUCGACGACCCCCACUUCUGGAGCUACGACCGUCACAGGUUCGACUACCACGGAGACUGCAAAUACGCCAUCUCCCAGAAAGGGAACAGCCUCAAUCCUGAUUACGGCAUCUUCGCACAGUUCCAGCGCUGCUACAACAUGCCCUCUUGCGUCCAAAAGACCACCUUCAAAGACAACCGGGAGCUUGAGAUUGAGAUAGGAGAAUGGGGACUCGCUUCUCCAGGCAUUUUCAAGAUUCGUGUAAACGGUGAAGAGAUUGAGGUGCCAGCGGGUCCCUACGCCCACAGGGUGACCUCCGGAGGAGUCACGCACGAUGUCCUUGUCUGGCGCCAGGGAGAAUGUCUCAGGAUUCUGGGCUCUCAAGGUCUUGUGCUCCAGCACUGCAAGAAUCGCUUCGACGUGUGGGCCAACCCUAAUCUACAUUCUGAGCUUCGCGGCUUGUGUGGUAUUCCGGACAAGAACACUGGCAACGACUUCACUACUAGGAACAACGUGCCGUACAACCCUACGCUCAACGCCCCUGCUGUGUUCGCCGAGUCCUGGAAGACACCGGACCAGACCAACCCCGCCUGCACAGCCGCCGGGAGACGCAGGAGAUCCAUCAACAAGGAGUCUCAAGCAACGUUCAAACAAUGCCAGCACGACAAUGUUUCAUGGAAGAGAAUGUUGGCACUGUGCCAGCAGACUGUUGGUGGGGCAAAAUCCAAUGGCCAGGGUGCCUCUGGGGAGCUCAGCCAGGUGCUUGUGGAUUCGUGCGCCUUUGACCUGUGUAUGAUCAGCAAAGGCUCGCCAGACCCGGAGAAGGACACUGAGAAGUGGCUGGGUGAGGUGAAGGUCAUGGCUCAGGAGCGAGUCUUCAUUGAGACUAUGGUUGCGGAGUGUGACAGGUAGAAGGGUCAGUGUGAGAACCUGCCUAAGGAGGUCGUAACGACACCCAACCCCUGUAUGAAUCCCAUCGACUUGAUCUUUAAUCCAGGAUGUUUGGGACUGAAGCCAAUUCGGCACUUCCUCCACAAUUAAAACCACCACUUCUUCCUGCAGAGACGGAUGAGCUAUUGACGGACCACAUGGCGUCGGGAAGCUCGCAAGUGUGAAGACCGAAGAGAUGCUGUAAUAUUGGGAUACAAGCCAAUUCAUUGCUGUAAUAUUAGAAUACAAGCCCACAAAGUGGUGUAGUAUUAGGAUACAAGUCCAUGAGAUGCUGUAAUAUUAGGAUACAGAUCUAUAAGGUACUGUACUAUUAGUAUAUAGACAUAUGAGUUACUGUAGAAUUAGUUUGCAGGCCCAUGGAGGGUUGAACUCUUAGAACACAUGUUAGUGGGGUGAUGUGUAGUAAUGGUACAUAUCCCUCAUUAGCGCAUAUAAUCAAGUGCAGCCUCCAGCCUGUGUGCUUCUGAAAAAGUACUGUUUAAGUGCCCUAACUAACCUAACAUUACCUAACCUAAUCUAAAGUGUAAAUGCACAUGUCAGCAUCAUAUUAGCGGAGAGCGCAUUCGUGUUGCAAUUGUUUUCGUUAUAUAGUCAGCAAUUUAAUGUGAAAGUUUAAAUACUUUUGUUCAAUAAAGUUAGAUAUUUACUCUUAAUAUCAGGCUGCAAGAUUGUCACCUAAUAAUGUUUAUAUACAGUUAUAAGGGAAGUUUCUCUUUCUGUAAAAUGCAAUUUGAAAACUU